rnacentral:lncRNA from 1 species
UACAGACUCUGAAGCUAAAACAAAAACACGACGAAAGGCGCGUGGCAGACACAGCUUAAGGGAACUGUUUGAAGGAUAGUAGUUCAGAAUCUGCAAAAAUAAACUGAAGAAGGAACUACAAUGAAUUAAUCAUAAUAGGACAAGGACAAGAUUGAGAAUUUGGACAUGGAUUCAGAACCUACUUAAAGCAAAUCUGGUUCAUGGACACAAGACAUUUCUACAUUCAAAAUGAAGUAAGAUUGCAAAAGCUUUAUUACUAGCCGACUAUAUCCACAAUUACUCUUCCUAUGAAGAUCCACAAACUUGGUGUUUGGAAUUGGCAGAUCCUAAACAAUGUUUACUUUUUUUUUUUUUUUCACAAAAGGUAUUCUAGAAAGAAUGGUACAAACCCAAAAUAAUUAAAUUAAC